UACGGGAGGCAGCAGUGGGGAAUAUUGCACAAUGGGGGGAACCCUGAUGCAGCAACGCCGCGUGAGUGAAGAAGUAUUUCGGUAUGUAAAGCUCUAUCAGCAGGGAAGAGAUUGACGGUACCUGACUAAGAAGCCCCGGCUAACUACGUGCCAGCAGCCGCGGUAAU
rnacentral:rRNA from 1 species